UAAGUGCUCAUGGGGAAGCAAGCCAACUCCACCAGGAAGCAGCACGAACCCUCUACCACCUCCUGUUAUCAGACAACUCCCUGGUAUUUCAGCCAUGGGUCUUGCGAUGUACGAGAGGCAGGUUGCUUUGGCUAGGAUGACUGGUAUGCAGACUCUCAUGCAACACCAGGGACAGCGAAUUGGCGUUGCUAGUCAGGUUCUGUAUGAUGGUGGCAUUGCUUCCCCGCAGCCACCGGUAUACUACUAGUUGUUGAUUCAAUAAAAACUUGUAAACACCUGUUGUUGUUAGUUCUCUGUGCUAUUUUAAGUGAUAGAAUCCUCCUCUCUUUUUUUUUUAUCUAUUGUUA
rnacentral:misc_RNA from 1 species